rnacentral:rRNA from 1 species
AGGAUUCAGCUGGUGAGUAUGGCUUGAGUUUGGACAAAUUGGUUAAAUGCCGGAGUCUGUGUAGAGACAGGUUCGUGCCUUCGGGUACGGAUGUGCGAUGCACUUAACAGGUGCUGCGCGCUUUGGCAAUGUUGGACCAACUCGCCAGUGCACUUUCUCGGAGUGUUCACCACGACCGGCACUGCUGUUUGGGUGUCGCGGUUAAACCGUUCUUGUAUCGCCUUCGUGGCUUUGCUUGAUCGGGAUGGCAGGUAGCUCGUUGGUUUUCCGCGGUUCGCCGUGGUUGCUUUCGGGUGUAAUAGCUUUCCGCGAUGGUACUAUGCAGUGUGUCGGAGACGGCGGCUUAUGGUGUGUGCGUGCGUGCCUGUUCGGUCGGCAGUUCCGGGUUCGGUUAUUAUGUUGCCUGUAAAAGCAGGCCUGGUGAUAGCCCGGUUCUGUUGGGUCGGCGGUUGCGUGUGUUUCACUUCCCAGGGCCAACAGUCUGUGGUGUAGUGGUAGACUAUCCACCUGACCCGUCUUGAAACACGGACCAAGGAGAGUAACAUGUGCGCGAGUCAUUGGGCGUAACGAAACCCAAAGGCGCAGUGAAAGUAAAUGUCUGGCUUGUCUAGACUGAGGUGAGAUCCUGUCGUUUUCCACGCGUGGUACUACCAAGCAUCGAGCGGCAGGCGCAUCACCGGCCCGUCCCAUGGGGUAGUCACAUAGUCAAUGACCAGUGCGGCACCGGGGCGGAGCAUGAGCGCACAUGUUGAGACCCGAAAGAUGGUGAACUAUGCUUGCGCAGGUUGAAGCCAGAGGAAACUCUGGUGGAGGACCGCAGCGAUUCUGACGUGCAAAUCGAUCGUCAAACGUGAG